rnacentral:misc_RNA from 1 species
AAUUUUUCUAGAAAAAAGAUUGGGAAGAAUUACCUUGAAUAAGAAACAUCAUGAUACAGCUUAAAGUCUCGUGUUAAUAAGUAUGAAAUCCUACCAAUCAAAAACAAAAGAAGGGUAUCUCUGAUUAUAGAAAUUAAUUAAAAAUGGGGAUUAAUGAUGCAAGUGUUGAUAAAUUUGAUAAACUUAUUCAGUUAAAAUUAUUAGGCUGCAUG